GACGAACGCUGGCGGCGUGCUUAACACAUGCAAGUCGAACGAUGAAGCUAGAGCUUGCUCUGGUGAAUUAGUGGCGAACGGGUGAGUAACACGUGAGUAACCUGCCCCGAACUCUGGGAUAACUGCUGGAAACGGUAGCUAAUACUGGAUACGACCUACGAAGGCAUCUUCUGUAGGUGGAAAGAAUUUCGGUUCGGGAUGGACUCGCGGCCUAUCAGCUUGUUGGUGAGGUAACGGCUCACCAAGGCGACGACGGGUAGCCGGCCUGAGAGGGUGGCCGGCCACACGGGGACUGAGACACGGGCCAGAAUCCUACGGGAGGCAGCAGUGGGGAAUAUUUCACAAUGGGCGCAAGCCUGAUGCAGCAACGCCGCGUGAGGGAUGACGGCCUUCGGGUUGUAAACCUCUUUUAGUAGGGAAGGAGCGAAAGUGACGGUACCUGCAGAAAAAGCACCGGCUAACUACGUGCCAGCCGCCGCGGUAA
rnacentral:rRNA from 1 species